UACGGAGGGAGCUAGCGUUGUUCGGAAUUACUGGGCGUAAAGCGCACGUAGGCGGCCGUUCAAGUCAGGGGUUAAAGCCUGGAGCUCAACUCCAGAACUGCAUUCGAUACUGGCAGACUCGAAUAAGGCAGAGGGUAGCGGAAUGGCGAGUGUAGAGGUGAAAUUCGUAGAUAUUCGGAGGAACACCAGUGGCGAAGGCGGCUAGCUGGGCCAUUAGUGACGCUGAGGUGCGAAAGCGUGGGGAGCAAACAGG
rnacentral:rRNA from 1 species